ensembl:lincRNA
CCAAUCUCAGAAGAAAAGGAAAAAAACCUCCCUUAUUUUAUAACAAAGAUGAAUUGGUUAGUAGAAAAUGUGUCAUUAAAUAAUGAAAUAGGGUUUUGUCUUCCCUUUAAUUUGCUAAAGUAUUCCUCUGAGCAUUGUGACAAACUAUUGAACAAUGUAAUUAUGAUACCUCCAUUUAGAAUUAGGUGAAAUUCUAAACUGAAUAAACAUAUGACUUUGAAGGCAUUAUGCUUAAUUUUAAGUGCUAUAAUAUACAGAAGAUGCCAGUCAGAUUGACAAUGAAUCUCAAGGGUUGUUGUGAAAGCCAAGGAAAACAAAGAAAUGAAGAAUUCCACACUUUCCUGCAUGAUGAAAGACAGCAAUACCUCAAGAUUUGGAACAUUACCACUACCCAGAUGUUUCUCUAUGCCGAAAUAUCACUGUAUCAACCUCACAGGAGAAUAUUAACUUGGACUCACCAAUAUGGUGGAAUGUUUACCCUUUUCAUUUAUCUUUUUCUCCCUGCUCAUUCUUCAAAUCAAGAGACAAAC